rnacentral:rRNA from 1 species
GACGAACGCUGGCGGCGUGCUUAACACAUGCAAGUCGACCGGAAAGGCCCUGCUUUUGUGGGGUGCUCGAGUGGCGAACGGGUGAGUAACACGUGAGUAACCUGCCCUUGACUUUGGGAUAACUUCAGGAAACUGGGGCUAAUACCGGAUAGGAGCUCCUGCUGCAUGGUGGGGGUUGGAAAGUUUCGGCGGUUGGGGAUGGACUCGCGGCUUAUCAGCUUGUUGGUGGGGUAGUGGCUUACCAAGGCUUUGACGGGUAGCCGGCCUGAGAGGGUGACCGGCCACAUUGGGACUGCGAUACGGCCCAGACUCCUACGGGAGGCAGCAGUGGGGAAUAUUGCACAAUGGGCGGAAGCCUGAUGCAGCAACGCCGCGUGCGGGAUGACGGCCUUCGGGUUGUAAACCGCUUUCGCCUGUGACGAAGCGUGAGUGACGGUAAUGGGUAAAGAAGCACCGGCUAACUACGUG